ACUYUGGGAUAAGCGUUGGAAACGAMGUYUAAUACUGGAUAUGACUWCCGGCCGCAUGGUSUGGUGGUGGAAAGAUUUUUUGGUUGGGGAUGGACUCGCGGCCUAUCAGCUWGUUGGUGAGGUAAUGGCUCACCAAGGCGACSACGGGUAGCCGGCCUGAGAGGGUGACCGGCCACACUGGGACUGAGACACGGCCCAGACUCCUACGGGAGGCAGCAGUGGGGAAUAUUGCACAAUGGGCGAAAGCCUGAUGCAGCAACGCCGCGUGAGGGAUGACGGCCUUCGGGUUGUAAACCUCUUUUAGUAGGGAAGAAGCGAAWGUG
rnacentral:rRNA from 1 species